AACAUAACAAAUAACUGACAGUAUUUCGACGAAGACGUUUGAAAAACGCCACAAAAACAGCGACAGAAAUGUCCAAAAAAAGCAUCGAAAACAAUAGAAAAAAAGAAGUUUAGAAACAGAAUAAAGUGAAUGACCAUUGAUGACACACUGGGUUUAUUUAUUGUGUUCAAUAACUGUCAUUUAUUCUUUAAUUAUUGAAAUGGUAUAGUGGUAGGAUAAGAGCCGGAGAAAAAACAAUGAAAUACAUGGUUUAUGUUGAAGCAUGUGCUUCAAGUGGCCUGCAC